UAAAUGUAAAGCAUGCACAAACAAUUUUUAUUUUGGUUUAACAUAAAAAUUAAAUCACUUUUUUAGUAAUUUCAACAAAAGAAUAUUCAUAACAAUAGGUUUCCUUAACUCACUUGGAGAGUCCCAAAAAGAUAUGAAGAGGUGCUUGGAAGCAACAAGGUGAGAAAAACAAGAACAAUUAUUGUUUAUUAUAAUAAAAAAUGUCAUAAUUGGAUUUCUAGAAUGUUAAUUUAACAUUUUAUCCUCUCAACAAGGGCAUUUAUGAGAAGCAAAGGGAUGAAAGUCUCAAGGUGGAAAUGUGAAACUGUCACCCAUGCCAUCCAGCAAUAUAUGGUUUCAUGUGGUGUGUUUGCGCUUAAAUUUGCAGAGUGCAUACUGGAAAACAAGGACCUGAACUUUCCAUCAACAGCAGAAGCUGUUAAUGCCAUGCGACUCAACAUUUCUUCCACACUUCUCUCAGAAUCAGACUCAGUGGAGAAUCUCUGCAGACACUGUGGCAGUGAGGACACAGAAGAUCAUAUGUGGAUCGCAUGUGACAGAUGCAACUGGUGGUACCACCAAGGCUGCGUUAAGGUCCCACAAACCGACACAGGCUACUGCUGUGCAAUGUGCUUAUAGAUUUUAUGUUUGUACCAAUCUAAUUCUUUAAUGACUGCAGUUUAGUGGAUUUUCAGUUUAAACAUGUGACAUAAUUUUCGUUGACUUAAUUGGUUUUCCAAAAUUUUUUGUUAUGAAUAUUCUUUUGUUGAAAUUAAUGAAAAAAAGUGAUUUAAUUUUUAUGUUUAACCAAAAUAAAAAUGGUUUGUGCAUGUUUUACAU